UACAUGGGGUGCAAACGUUGCUCGGAAUUAUUGGGCGUAAAGCGCACGUAGGCGGUUUGUUAAGUCGGAUGUGAAAUCCCUCGGCUCAACUGAGGAAGUGCAUCCGAAACUGGCAAGCUUGAGUACAAGAAGGAGGCGCGGAAUUCCCGGUGUAGAGGUGAAAUUCGUAGAUAUCGGGAGGAACACCGGUGGCGAAGGCGGCGACCUGGGUCGAUACUGACGCUGAGGUGCGAAAGCGUGGGGAGCAAACAGG
rnacentral:rRNA from 1 species